rnacentral:lncRNA from 1 species
UCAAGGUUCUAUCAGCGAUAAAUAAGGGAGGCUAAGGUAUUGAGGAACCAUAUAAUGUUAUUUACACUACCUACUUUCUAAUCUGCCUCAUCUACUCACCUUCCUCUUUCUCUUCCUGUAAUCUUAUUGCAUGGAAGAAAUUUUUGAUGAAGACAAGUUGUCUAUUUUUCUUAAAAUCAUUUUUUUAGCUAGUGGUAUGUCUCGAACACUUUCCUAAUAGUUCAUUGAGAUAAAGUCAUAACAUUUUUUUUUUCUUUCUUCGCUACCCUCACUCAUUGCCCCAUUGGGAUUGACUGCAAAUUGCAAUUUUCUAUAGAAAGAAUCAGUAAUCCUUUCUACACAGUGGCCUUGGUGAUUUCAAAACUUUAAGAACAUUUAAAAUAUUCAAGUUCUUUCUCCAAAAACUGGUGACUUUCUGCUGCUGAGCUCCUGAAAGUUUUUGAGAAGAAAGUUGAAAGGUCGAAAAUGGUGCUGUGUUUAUUUGAAUAUCUGAAGGGUAAACUCCAAGCUACUUAUCUGAAAACAAAUAUUCUCUGAAACCUGCAGAGUAAAGAAGUAUAACUUGACAUUUCUUCUGCAAGAAAAAAAACAAUAAGAUGGUGACUUUCAAGACCUCAGUCAAUGACUAAAGUUCUGUGACCACAGUGAGCAUAUUACUGCGGUAACCAGGGCAGUAAUGUCAAGACAAAAGUCAGGGUUGGCUUUAAGAAAGAAGCCUGAGAACUGGAACUAUAUAGAGGCCAGAAAAUCAGUGUCUACAUGCUAAAGGCAAUUUUCAGGAACAAGUACCAGGAGCAGAUCAACAAAACAAAGAAGAUCAACAAAACAAAUAAGGAAGGUGGUUUUAUGAACCCAGAGGGGCAGUGGUUAUGAGUUGUGGUGCCACUUUAUUCAACCUUAUCUGCUUGGAAGUUUUUCUCCUACACCAUUAAACCCCUCACUGAACCAAACUUUGUACAGACUGCAGCCAAGAAGGGCUGUAUUAUGGCUUUCUUGGACCUCUUCAUCCACAAAAAUAUUAAAAAUUGUAUUUCAUGA